GAUGAAGAACGUGGUGAAAUGCGAUAAGUAAUGUGAAUUGCAGAAUUCAGUGAAUCAUCGAAUCUUUGAACGCACAUUGCGCCCGCCAGUAUUCUGGCGGGCAUGCCUGUCUGAGCGUCAUUUCAACCCUCAAGCAACUUCUGCUUGGUGUUGGGGAUCGGCCGUCAAACGCCGCCCCCGAAAUCUAUUGGCGAUCUCGCUGUAGCUUCCUAUGCGUAGUAGUAACAUCUCGCAUCUGGAGAGCGGCGCGGUCAUGCCGUAAAACACCCAACUUCUCAGGUUGACCUCAGAUCAGGUAGGAAUACCCGCUGAACUUAAGCAUAUCAAUAAGCGGAGGA
rnacentral:misc_RNA from 1 species